rnacentral:tRNA from 1 species
AGUAGAAUGACUGAAGGAUUAAUAGGUGAUAAAUUGUAAAUUUAUUUAUGAGUUUGAACUCUUCUGCUA